GAUGAACGCUGGCGGCGUGCCUAAUACAUGCAAGUCGAGCGAACAGACGACGAUCUUGCUCCUCUGACGUUAGCGGCGGACGGGUGAGUAACACGUGGUUACCCUACCUAUAAGACUGGGAUAACUUCGGGAAACCGGUGCUAAUACCGGAUAAUAUCUUCAACCGCAUGGUUCGAUAGUGAAAGACGGUUUUGCUGUCACUUAUACAUGGAUCCUCGCCGCAUUAGCUAGUUGGUAAGGUAACGUCUUACCAAGGCAACGAUGCGUAGCCGACCUGAGAGGGGGGUCGGCGACAUUAGAAGUGAGCCGCGGUCCAGACGACUACGGGACGCAGCAGUCGCGUACGGUACGCAGAGGGCGGAAGUAUUACGGAGUGAGGCCGAGCGAGAGAUGACGGCGUUCGGAGCGGGAUAAUGUCUUAUGGGGGAUGAACAACUGUGUACGUAGGUGUGCACGUCUUGACGGUACCUAAACAGAAAGCAACGGCUAACUACGUG
rnacentral:rRNA from 1 species